rnacentral:lncRNA from 12 species
CUGGCGGGACCCUGUGCCAGGCCCAGGUCAGGUCUGGCUGUCCGCCCUCUGAGCACCGAGGCGCAUCCAGCAGCUCUGCUGCCCCAAGGCUUGGGUCCUCCAGGUCCCUCACCCCCAGCCCCCAGAACCACUAGCCCUGAGCCAAGCAGGGACUUGUUGCCCCCUCCCCAGGUCUGUACUGUGAACCGCCCUCACGUCCUCGGGGGUCUGUCUGUGGCACGCCCUGGCUGUGCCGGCGCCACCACCAGAGCCCCAGGCGCAGGCCUUCCUUGGGAGGGCUCCCCGGCACCCUCCUGCCUGGCCUCCAAUUCUGAGAGUGUAGAGGCAGGGGAGGGGGCUGCGGGGCAGUGAGCAGACUGGUUCUGUGGCGGUGUGGAUCAAGUGUGGCCGUGCAUCCCAGCGCCGCCCACCCAGGAUCUCUUACAUAAUCAAUAGUCAAUAAAUCUCAGCUGUUUAUUGUGACUUUCUGGAGGGGCCAAGGAUACUGUUGGUCUCUCUCUCCCCGGAGACUCCAAAGCACCAUCUAUCAUUCCUGAGGUCAGCAGCCCCUCCCCUGCGUCCUUUUCUAGAUCUUUCCUGGCUCCUUCUCCACCCCUUGGGGGGGCGGGUCCUAGGACCCAACAUGGCCUCCCCCCACCCCCCCACCCCCCAGCCCCCAGCCCCCACCUCUACUUCCUAUUCCAGGGUUAGGAUCCUGGCCUCCUGGAUGCUGCUGUGGCAGUCCUGUGUCUCCCAGCCAGGGCCAGCCGGCCACGCGCAUUCUGUAAAUGUUUCUGUGCUCAGGCCUAUGGCCACCACCACCCCCAUCAGCUUCUCUGCGCACUUGCUCAGGGGCCUUGGGGCUCCCUGGCCUGCCCCAUGCCCCAUUCCUGCUUCCUCCCCCCAGACUCUGAGAGCACCUCUGGAAAAGGUCAAAGACAAAGGGAAGAAAGGGAAGAAGGAUAAAGCCCCCAAAGCGACCAAGAAGCCCCUGGAGGGGUCCCCCAAGCCAUCCAAAAAGCCCAAGGAGAAGCCACCCAAGGCCACCAAAAAGCCCAAAGAGAAGCCACCCAAGGCCACCAAGAAGCCCAAAGAGAAGCCACCCAAGGCCACCAAGAAGCCCAAAGAGAAGCCACCCAAGGCCACCAAGAAGCCCAAGGAGAAGCCGCCCACGCUGACCCCCUCAGAAGCCCCGUGGUGGCCGCUGCCCGUGCCUCCCAGCCCUGGCCCCGAGGAGCUGCCCCAGGAGGGAGGUGUGUGCAGGCUCUCCUGGGGUUAUGGGCUCUGACCCACCAGGCUCCUAGGAGGGAGAGGAGGUCCCUGGGUCUCUGCUCUCUGCACAGAUCUUG